rnacentral:rRNA from 1 species
GACNAGUGGCGGACGGGUGAGUAAUGUCUCGGGAAACUGCCUGAUGGAGGGGGAUAACUACUGGAAACGGUAGCUAAUACCGCAUAACGUCGCAAGACCAAAGAGGGGGACCUUCGGGCCUCUUGCCAUCGGAUGUGCCCAGAUGGGAUUAGCUAGUAGGUGGGGUAACGGCUCACCUAGGCGACGAUCCCUAGCUGGUCUGAGAGGAUGACCAGCCACACUGGAACUGAGACACGGUCCAGACUCCUACGGGAGGCAGCAGUGGGGAAUAUUGCACAAUGGGCGCAAGCCUGAUGCAGCCAUGCCGCGUGUAUGAAGAAGGCCUUCGGGUUGUAAAGUACUUUCAGCGGGGAGGAAGGCGAUAAGGUUAAUAACCUUGUCGAUUGACGUUACCCGCAGAAGAAGCACCGGCUAACUCCGUGCCAGCAGCCGCGGUAAUACGGAGGGUGCAGGCNUUAAUCGGAAUUACUGGGCGUAAAGCGCACGCAGGCGGUCUGUCAAGUCGGAUGUGAAAUCCCCGGGCUCAACCUGGGAACUGCAUUCGAAACUGGCAGGCUAAAGUCUUGUAGANGGGGGGUNGAAUUCCCAGUGUAGCGGGAAAUGCGUAGAGAUNUGGNGGAAUACCGGUGGCGGAAGGCGGGCCCCCUGGACAAAAGACUGACNCUCAGGGUGCCGAAAGCGGGGGGAGCAACNGGAAUUNGAUACCCCUGGUANUCCCACCC